AACGAACGCUGGCGGCAUGCCUAACACAUGCAAGUCGAACGAGACCUUCGGGUCUAGUUGCGCACGGGUGCGUAACGCGGGGGAACCUGCCCUUAGGUUCGGAAUAACUCCCCGAGAGGUGUGCUAAUACCGGUUAAUGUCUUCGGACCAACGAGUUAUCGCCUUUGGGUGGGGGCGCGUUGGCUUAGCUGGUUGGUAGUGUACAAGCAUACCAAGGCGAGGAUGCAGAGCUGGUCGGAUAGGAGGCUACGUAACACUGGGGCUGCGACACGGCCCCGACGCCUACGGGACGGAGCAGUGGGGAAUAUAGGGGGAUGGGGCAAAGCCUGAUAAAGCCAUGCGGCGGGAGUGAUGAAGGCGUUAGGGUUGUACAGCCCCUUUAGCCGGGACGAUAAUGACAGUACCGGGAGAAUAAGCACCGGCUAACUCCGUG
rnacentral:rRNA from 1 species